GGAAGGAGACUUCGUUUCCCACGGACGAAAAGUUGCCACGCCCACUCAGUGUCGUCAGAGCCCCCUGUGCCUGAGGCGUGCGCGGCUCGGAGCCCUGCCCUCGGAGUCCUGCGGUGCCUUCCUCGAGUCUGGCCUGCUUUCCAUCCUGCUAAGUACUUGGGGCAUUUCCCUCUUUGGGUAAGGUGUGGUCUUCCCUGUCCUGGCAUUAGACACAAGGCAGUGGGCCUUCCUGCCAUUCUAAGUGUAGCUUAAGACAAUCAGUGCAAAGCAACCCUUUGUGGGUGUCCAGCCCUUGCCUCGGGAGGCCAGAAAGGUGGCCUGGGGGGAGAGCGUCUAAGCUGGCUGUGGAAAGACCCAUGUUGGGAUCCAUUCCACAGAGGUCGUCAGGGGUCUCUGCCUGGCCUGGAGGUCCCAGAGAGGACCCUCCUCCCCUCAGGAAGGCCCAUCUGGAAGGGUAGCAGAGGACUGCUCACAGGAAGAGCAUGCGAAGUGCUCUUUCUGGGGAUGCCUGUAGUUGGUGAUGUGGGAACUGGGUUUUGAGGGAUGCCUAGGAGUUCAUCCAUCAGAGGGGAAAUGAGGAAGCCAUGCAGGAUCAAUGGAUAAAGUGUGCUCAGGUGAGGGUUGGCUGGUGGGCCGCUGCAGGGCGGGGGCCUGUCCAGUGCUCCCCCACUUACUUGCUGCCUCCCGACUGCUGUAAUUAUGGGUCUGUAACCACCCUGGACUGGGUGCUCCUCACUGACGGACUUGUCUGAACCUCUCUUUGUCUCCAGCGCCCAGCACUGG
rnacentral:lncRNA from 1 species